rnacentral:lncRNA from 1 species
CUGCAUUUCAGUUUUGGGGUUUGCCUUCCAGCUCCCCGCCCCCCAACCCCAAGAAGGCAAGUGUCAAAUUAACAGCUCCAAAACUAAUAAACUGAGUGAGUUCAUGGGGAAAUUAUGGUCCUGAAGGAAGCGGGACUUGCUUCCUUCUUGCUGAAGCCAAAUCCUGAAGACUUGGAGCCCAGCGUCAAGAAAACCCUCUGAGUUCCUUCGCUCCAGGGCUCUCGCGGCCCUGUCGUCUUCCGCGUGCAAUCGCAGGGCCCACCGGAGGCCUGGGCCUACAGCUUGGAGAAGAAGCCUCCGGAAUUCUUUCAAGAGAAGCAUAAAUCCAAGUUCAAGUCUUGGAAACUCAGCAAGGAAUGAUGAAAAAUAAAGUUUCCCUGAUUAGACGAGACCCGCAGAUGACUGGAAGUAGAAUCUGAAACUGUUCUCUGUGUUGCUCAAGAAGUCGCUGUCCCGCCCUUCAGAGUGCCAUGUCUCCACCCCGCCUCGACUCAGUGACAGAAAAUACAUUCGAGAUGUGGUGACCUCACUUCCCUCCUUUGUCAGCCGAUGGAGGCCUGAUUGUGGUCUUCACUCUGGAAUUCCUCCCACCCACACCCAGGAGAGCUCCACAGAGGCAUGGAGCUCCACUAGUGGGUUUCAUGUUUGAGGAAGCCUCCCAAAUGUUUACUUAUCUGAAAUAAAGUGGCACAGGAAUAUGGAAACAUCAACCGUCUUUUGCUUUUGGCUGAAAUAGUGUAAACUCACCAGUUGAGACAUUGACCAUACGGAGAUGAGGAAGAGAU